AGAGUUUGAUCCUGGCUCAGAUUGAACGCUGGCGGCAUGCUUUACACAUGCAAGUCGAACGGCAGCACGGGCUUCGGCCUGGUGGCGAGUGGCGAACGGGUGAGUAAUGCAUCGGAACGUGCCCAUUUGUGGGGGAUAACUACGCGAAAGCGUGGCUAAUACCGCAUACGCCCUGAGGGGGAAAGCGGGGGAUUCUUCGGAACCUCGCGCAAUUGGAGCGGCCGAUGUCAGAUUAGCUUGUUGGUGAGGUAAAGGCUCACCAAGGCGACGAUCUGUAGCGGGUCUGAGAGGAUGAUCCGCCACACUGGGACUGAGACACGGCCCAGACUCCUACGGGAGGCAGCAGUGGGGAAUUUUGGACAAUGGGGGCAACCCUGAUCCAGCCAUGCCGCGUGAGUGAAGAAGGCCUUCGGGUUGUAAAGCUCUUUCAGCCGGGAAGAAAGCGCACUCUCUAACAUAGGGUGUGGAUGACGGUACCGGAAGAAGAAGCACCGGCUAACUACGUGCCAGCAGCCGCGGUAAUACGUAGGGUGCAAGCGUUAAUCGGAAUUACUGGGCGUAAAGCGUGCGCAGGCGGUUAUAUAAGACAGAUGCGAAAUCCCCGGGCUCAACCUGGGAACUGCAUUAGUGACUGUAUAGCUGGAGUGCGGCAGAGGGGGGAUGGAAUUCCGCGUGUAGCAGUGAAAUGCGUAGAUAUGCGGAGGAACACCGAUGGCGAAGGCAAUCCCCUGGGCCUGCACUGACGCUCACGCACGAAAGCGUGGGGGAGCAAACAGGAUUAGAUACCCUGGUAGUCCACG
rnacentral:rRNA from 1 species